UACGUAGGGACCAAGCGUUGUUCGGAUUUACUGGGCGUAAAGGGCGCGUAGGCGGCGCGGUAAGUCACUUGUGAAAUCUCUGAGCUUAACUCAGAACGGCCAAGUGAUACUGCAGUGCUAGAGUGUGGAAGGGGCAAUCGGAAUUCUUGGUGUAGCGGUUAAAUGCGUAGAUAUCAAGAGGAACACCUGAGGUGAAGACGGGUUGCUGGGCCAACACGUGACGCUGGAGGCGACGAAAGCCAGGGGAGCAAACGGGA
rnacentral:rRNA from 1 species